GGGUUGGUGGAAGGAUGGUCUAUACUGUUGGUUUUCGACCGCUAGGACCCGGGUUCGAUUCCCGCAUUGGGCA
rnacentral:tRNA from 1 species